CCGGUAGAAAAAUUCUUCCAGCUCCAGGCUACUUGUUUCACUUUUAAAAAAUGGAGCCGUGGAACUAUCAAAUCAAUCAACAAAUAUUUGAGCUACCACUGUGCUUUGGAGAAAAUCAAUGACGGUGGAGAGAGCCAAGCUUCUUGUCCCCUCAAGAGCUCACGAUGGAGUUGGAGAGGCAGAAACGAAGGAUAAUCAAUAGAUGUGUAUCUAACUUACUUUUCUUAAUAGCUGCAUAAUUUCCCAUAAUGUGCCACUAUUUAUUCAAGUUGUAUCAGUUAGCUUUGUAAAAAAAAAUAUAUAUAUAUGUCAGUUAGCUUUUGCUGUGUUACUAACCACUCCCAACUUUAGUAGCUUAAACAGCAGCAUGUAUUAAUUCCCAUGAUUCUCUGGGUUGGCGGGGAAGUUUUUCUCAUCUGGGUCAACUCAGCUUAUCUCUGCUGGGUUCACUCUUGUUUCUAGGAGAUGCUGGCGAGUUAACAGCAAGUUGGAUGUCGAGGACGGCCUCAGUCACAUCACUGCCGGUUGCCAAGCUCUUGGCCAUACAGACAGUUGGACGCAGUGACGGGACUCACAGUCUGAAGCCUCCCCUCGCGAAGAGAAUAUAACUUCCGAAGAUCCAGUCGGUUCAAAAAUCUCUUCUUGAGUACCCACUACUCUGUGUCAGAAACUGUACUAGUGCUGGUGACUGAGACUACAUAGAUGAAGCUUUUGUUUCCGGAAAUGAGAUGUGCCUAGAGAAGACAGAAA
rnacentral:lncRNA from 1 species